CAGUCGCCACGGUAAUACAGAGGAUGCAAGCGUUAUCCGGAAUGAUUGGGCGCAAAGCGUCUGUAGGUGGCUUUUCAAGUCCACCGUCAAAUCCCCGGGCUCAACCCUGGACAAGCAGUGGAAACUACCAAGCUGGAGUACGGUAGGGGUAGAGGGAAUUUCCGGUGGAGCGGUGAAAUGUGUUGAGAUCGGAAAGAACACCAACGACGAAAGCACUCUGCUGGGCCGACACUGAUACUGAGAGACGAAAGCUAGGGGAGCAAAUGGGAUUAGAGACCCGCGUAGUCCCUGUCUCUUAUAU
rnacentral:rRNA from 1 species